rnacentral:rRNA from 1 species
UACAGAGGUCUCAAGCGUUGUUCGGAUUCAUUGGGCGUAAAGGGUGUGUAGGUGGCGCCGUUAGUCGGGUGUGAAAUUUCGGAGCUUAACUCCGAAACUGCAUUCGAUACUGCGGUGCUUGAGGACUGGAGAGGAGACUGGAAUUCAUGGUGUAGCAGUGAAAUGCGUAGAUAUCGGGAGGAAUACCUAUGGCGAAAGCAGGCUACUGGACCGUCACUGACUCUGAUCUGCGAAAGCUAGGGGAGCAAACAGG